rnacentral:rRNA from 1 species
UACGGAGGAUGCGAGCGUUAUCCGGAUUUAUUGGGUUUAAAGGGUGCGUAGGCGGGAUGCCAAGUCAGCGGUAAAAAUGCGGUGCUCAACGCCGUCGAGCCGUUGAAACUGGCGUUCUUGAGUGGGCGAGAAGUAUGCGGAAUGCGUGGUGUAGCGGUGAAAUGCAUAGAUAUCACGCAGAACUCCGAUUGCGAAGGCAGCGUACCGGCGCCCUACUGACGCUGAAGCACGAAGGCGUGGGUAUCGAACAGG